CCUACGGGUGGCAGCAGUAGGGAAUGUUCGUCAAUGGGCGCAAGCCUGAACGAGCAAUGCCGCGUGAACGAGGAAGGUCUUCGGAUCGUAAAGUUCUGUUGAAGGGGAAAAAGAGCGGAGAGAGGAAAUGCUUUCUGAUUGAUAUUACCCUUGGAGGAAGACACGGCUAACUACGUGCAAGCAGCCGAUGUAAUACGUAGGGGGCGAGCUUUAUCAGGAAUGAUUGGGCGUAAAGGGUGCGUCGGCGGCCUGCUAAGUCUGGAGUUAAAGGUACCGGCUCAACCGGUACAGGCUCUGGAAACUGGCGGGCUAGAGUGCAGGAGAGGGCGGUGGAACUCCAUGUGUAGCGGU
rnacentral:rRNA from 1 species